AUAAACUUUAUUUGAUGACCUUUUCUGCUGGGUAUCAUCUGUGUGUUCCACCAUCAGCCUAAACACAGCAUGUUUGUUCAUUUGUUCAUUUGUUUCUUCAUUCAACGUAGGUUUGAGGUUCAGUCUGUUAAAAGAUAGAGAAAUAUAAAGAUAAAUUACUAGUAUGUCCCAUUAAUGGAAAAUACUAAGCUAGGUGGAAUAUCAAAGAAGUGAUAAAUUGUGCCUCAGGGAGGCUUUAAAAAGGUUACGUUUAUUAGGCUGGUCUUAAAGGCUUUCAGCUUCUUUGUAAUGUGAGAAAAAUAAUAAUUACCUGCCUUACAGAACUGUUGUCAAGUGAAAAAUCCUUGUGAAAAUGCUUUGUGAAGUUUGUGUAAAUACUAGCUUUGAAGAUUACAUAAUGUAAGUGCAACAACAUCAAUUUUGGAUUAAGGCCUGGAUUUGAAUCACGAUUCACUUUUACUAGCUAUGUGACUUUCAGCAAGUGAUUGUAAUUUUUGAUCCCUUCAGUUUCUUGAUCUAUCAAAUGGAGAUAAUACCUCUUUUAAAGAACAUUUGGAAUGAGAUGAAAUAAUCAGACGAACGCCUGGCAAGUAAUAGGCUCUCAUCAAAUGUUAAUUUCCUUCCUUUCUUCCUUCAGUCUAGUUUGCAGUGAAAGGUGAGGAAUUAGAAACAGAAAAUGCAGGUCUGCAAUUCCUUGUCUAAAAAGCCUAAAAUCCAAAAAGCUUUGAAAACAGAAGUUUUUUAAAUAGGUGAUAAAGUCUGACAUGAACUCAUUUCAAACCCUGAGCUAAACAUAAGGUUUAUUUAUCUUUAUCUUAAUAUGGUUGUUCCUAAAUUUCGUUGUAGAAAUACUGUUUUUACUCUUUGCUGCUCGGAACUUUUGAAUGGAUAAAUAUUAAGUAAUACAAGGACUAUACUAUAAUAUUUUUCUAAAAUCUGAGAAUGUCUGAAUUUUGGAACAUUUCUGACUGCAAGGGUUUGGAUAAGGGAUUGUGGACCUCUAUAGGGUAUUCUUUAAAAAUACUUGCUUUGAACCAAAUAUAGUAAGCCAGUAACUAUAGGGAACAAACAAGGUUAAAGGAACAUUUCGAUUUUUGUUUCCUUUGUUUAAGAUGGGAGAGAUUUAUAGCUAUAUAUAUGUAGGUUAAGGGGAUGGGGGGAAUACAGUGGAAAGGGAGAAGUUGAUUAUAGGUCAAGUGAGGUUCCAGAGGAUGCGGAGCGGUUCUAGGUAGGUCAGGAUAUCAAGUAGCCAUUGGCUAUAUAUGGCUGUUUAAAUUUAUCAAAUCAAAUUGAAAAUCAAUUCCUUAGUUGCUUUGACAGCAUUUUGGUUGUUCAGUAGCGACAUGUGCUAGUGGCUACUGUGUUGGACUGCAGAUAUAUCACGUUCUUAUCAUUACAGAAAAUUAUAUUGGAUAGCACUGCUUUAGAGCAGGAGUAAAGGGGUAUUUUCAGAAGAGACCAGAGAGAAUGGAAGUUAAUAUAAUUUAGAUUCUUUAGUGGAUGAAAGUUGUCAAGAGACUGUUAAUCCUCAGCUGCUUUGUUUUUUCCUGAAUGGUUGGAAAUAAAGACAUCCAAUUACAGUUGACCCUUGAACAAUAUUAGGUUUGAACUGUCUGUGCAGAACCAUUUACACAAAUCUGCCUAUAAAUCGACCCACACAAUUCAAACCCAUGUUGUUCAAGGGUCAACUGUAGUCAGAAGGGGCAGGAGGUAGGCAGAUUAGAGUGGUUAAAGUCAUUUUAUCCAAAGGCAGCUGUCCUUGUCCCUCAUUGCAUCUCUCCAUUUUUCCCGUUUCUCAAGUUCAAAUCCAUUCUACUUGUAUUCUAGCCUUGUAAUUACUUGCAUUCUUCCUUUCAUUUCCAUUAGCAAAUUCCAUUCCAUGUUACAUAGUUUCUUUUUCAAAUAAAAGCAAACAAAAAGCCCUUUGCUAUCGACCCACAGACCACAGCAAGGCCCCUGUUUUACAAUAUUUUAGGUUUUCCAGAGCAGUUAUUAGUCCGUCUGCUGUUCUGCUUUCUCACCCCCUUCUCUAAGUCUGGAUUGCAGCUCUUUGACUGCUCUCCACAUGGACCAGCAGAGCGGCCUCCUUUGCUUGCCCCAGCUGCUGUUCCCCUUACUAAGACACCUCCCCUUUUGGUUAAGCAGAACUACUUGCCCCCUUAGUUCUGCUUUCUCUUACCAAGAAUUUAAAGUUAUUCAAUGUAGAGAAUUCAUAGUAGGAGGUAUUCCUUCAUAAUUAUUAUGACACUUAUUAUAGUUAAUUACAGUUAGACUUAAAUCAGUGCUGUUUUUCAUUCUUAUUCCUUCCAGCUCUGUAUACCUUCAAAGUAGUAAAUCAUGCUAUGCUCCCUGCAUAAUAUAGGAUGUUUUCAUUUGACUUUUAAUAAGUGUAAAAAAUUCUCCCUAACAUUCUGUCUGAUUUAUGUUUUCAUUAUUUGUCACAGAAUUAUAGAACAAUGAAAAAAGUAUUAGACCUGGAAGGAACUUUAGGAAUAGAUUAUUUACUUCCAUAUUUCACAGUUGAGAAAACUAAGAUUUAAAGAAGCUUAGUGAUUUGCCCAAGGACAUUCACUAAUUGUUGGCAGAGUAGGAAUGAGAACCUAGGGUUUCUGACUACUAAUCUAGUAUACACUAUCUAAAUGAUAUUUUAAAAUAUUAUUAUGGUGAAGGGAAAUGAGUCCAGUAAUUACUCAUUACUAGUGAAAUACAGAGUGCUUUUUAAAACCAAUAUAAGGUUUUACUAUUUGUUCUUUGCUUUUUUUUUUUUUAAGAAAAUUUUACUUUUCAACAAUGGUGUAGUAUUAUAACUAAUAAGGAGAAAUUUAAAUGUUCUUUGUAUCAGUACACUAUACUUUGUAUUAAAAUAAGUGAUUAUGGUUGAAAGCAUUUAAUGUCUAGUUAGAUUGCUUUAAAAAUUCUGAUUAUUCAGUGGGACCUUACUAUUGAGUUCCACAAUAAUACGACUUAUCAAAAAUUGUUUAAAAAAAAUAAUCAUAAUUAAAAUGUGUCCAAUUUUUAUGUCUUAUUAAAAAUCUCUUUGAAAAAUAGUACUUUUGGAGUAGUGUGUCAGAUUGUAAGUAGUUGUUCAUUGAAUGUUGUGUUAGCAUUAGUUUUCUUUAGAACUGCUUAUAUGGCCUUUUUUGCUGGUUAUACAUUUUAUAAAGUAUCUUCAAUAUUUGUUCCUGCCAACCAGUAUUAAGAGUAACAACUUCCAUACGUUUCAACAGUAUUUAACUCUUUGAUAAUAUGUAUUCAUACUUUGACUCUUUUGGAGAUAUAAAGAAUAAAUGCUGGUUUCCCGGUCGAAAUCAUAGUUGCCACUUUCUUUUCCCUCAGUAUUGCAUUCAUUAGACCUAAGUGAAAAUGAUGCAUACUGUGCUUAAAAGGCUAUGUUUUAUACUUUUCAGUAGCUAUUUUCAAGUAUUUUUGUUUAAAUACAAAGAUGGUAAAAUAAUUUUUAAUAAUAGCUGGAAUUGUUUGUGUAUAUAUUGUGGUUAUGGGAACAUUUAACUAUGGAAAUACUACCAAAUAAAAGCCAUACUGGAUCAAGUUUUA